UUGUCAAUCUAUCAUAUAAGAAAAGUCUACCAUUUGAGCAAUUCUUAGCCUAUCCACAUCAGCAUCUGUUCCAUGGUAAUUCCACAUCAGCUUUGGCGGUUAAGCAUGAUUUUCUGAUCAUUCAUAUGCAUGGUGGGCUGCGGCAGUUAUUGCUGUGGGAGUUUCACCCUCCCAGCUUCUAUUCUUCAAUUUCCACUAUUCUCAUAACUGUCCUUAAUCCCACACUCUUCCAAAUUCCAAAACCGUUCAAAAAAUGUUAGUGCAGCCCAUUCUUCUUCUUCUUUCACGAUCCAUUUUCUCCAAAUUCCUUUCACUUUGCCUCACACAAUUGAGAUUCUUCCUGUUCUGAAGACAAAGAAGCAACCUAUCCUGUUCACGGCGGUGUUGCUUGAGGUUCGUCAAUGAUGGAUAACUUCACGAAUGUUGUCUGCGGCUGUGUCGAUCUUGGCCGGAAGGGUGAUGCUCGCGGUGAUUGGUUUUGCUUUCUGAUGACCCUUCACAGUGGUUGGGUUUGAUUAAACGGGGAAUCUUUCACAUAUUGGAUUGGGUUUACAUUGUAAAUGCUCACAUAAUCUCUGGUAUUGGAAUCGUGGGUGGACUAAAUUUUAAGGUCUGUAUCGAUAGGACAGCAAUACAACACUCCUCAUUCUGUACUACUGUGGCUACUGCAAUACCAACGAGUUUCCGUCAACGACUGUGGUGGUGGGAUUUAUGGUGCCAUGGUUGUUGCAGGGAGUUUUAUAUGUUCGAUUACCAGAAUUGACUCUCUUGCAGGUUUUCAUCUUUUAAUAGAUGUUGUUCUUUAAGAACUUGGAUAUGUCGUUCCUCCAAUUAUGUACAGGUUUGUGCAACACAGUGUGACUCUGCAACGUUAUUUCAAUCACCUUCGCGAACUCCACUGUGAAUAAUAUUCAUCAUCGUCAUCAACAACCUCUACAACACCCCCAACAAUAACUCGGCGACAACAAGAAUACAAUUCUACUGCAUCACGUAAAAAUGCGGCGUGACUUCGAGUUCACGCAUCGAAAGAAACGAACAUGGAUGGAUCUAACUCAAGUUUCUAAUGAUUUGUAUGUGUUGGUUAUGGCGAACGACGGGCUUUCUGAAAAUCUGAACAGUUAUAGAUGUUGUGUUUAUUGGAAUUGAAAUUAUGGAACCACGACGUAUGGUGGGAACAAUGGAGAGAUUUAUGUUGGCACUGGAAAAUCAGAAUCUAAGAGGAGAAUCAGUGUUGGGUUCAAUCAAAACUCUAAAGUAUUCUUGCAUAUUUUCUUGAAUGGUUAUUUACUUCUUGAUUGAGUUUUUUUUGUGUUUGAAUGAAUAUUAUUAUGCAACGUGCAUCUUAACCCGUGCCUUAACCCGUACGGUGGUUUUAAGCGUCGUCGCAUCAAUGAGAUAAUAGUUCAAGCUCAAGGAGAGCACACCUUCGUUCACUAUUAUGCUACUGUGAUAGCAAUCUCCGCUCUUCUGGCUGCUUCCAAAAUUGCAUAUCGCAAACUGUAUUUGAUUGCACAAAUGCGCGAACACACAAAAUUUUUCAAUUGAAUUUGUUUGCCCAUCUAAACAUGUUGCUACAGCAAUACUGAUCAACUGUCAAAAUAUUUCAGGUUCAACUACAAAUACAAAGCGGCUCUGUACAGAACAUCGAAAUGUGUUGGCAGCGAGGAAUUCUUUUACUUCACCAGUGAAAGAUCAGAUUCUUUCUUUAGUUUGAUGGAAAACUUUGAUAAACUCUUUUUAAAUUCAUUUCUAACUAAUUAGCUUCUGAGUAUAUUUGUGAGUUUUUCUUGGUCUCAAAACUGCAGGUCUUGAAUCUCUAUGUUUGGUUGAGUUUUAGGUUGAAAGAUUCUUUCACAUACCAAGACUUGGCUUCAUCUCAAAAAGCCAUGCUGAUACAGGGUUGCAGUGUGAUGUGCCGAUCUGUUUUAUAGAAGAUUCAUCAUGACAUGGUCAAGUUUCCGUUGCAUUAGUUCUCUGCUCCAUAGCUUUCACAGAUCCAAAGUCCAGGAAAUGCCGACUCUGCUGGCAGUCGCAACAUCACCUGGGAACUGAUAAACACAUUGUUGUGCCGAUAACAUAUAUGCCGACCUUCGAUUCAAUGUUAACGGUCGACCAUACUUUCACUUUGUACUCCAAACAAAAACUUAUGCUCCUGAUGAUGCAAUAGAUGCCAUGCUCUGAGAAAGCGACUUGAAGAGAAUCUACUGUAUGUGAGAAAUGUUGAGACACCAAAUCGUUUUGGUGGAAUCCAGUACCUAGGAUUUGAAAAACUUACAUACGUACCCAUUCAGUUCAACAUCAGGAAAUUGAGGAUGUUUCAAUUGCAUGAAGCUGCAGAAUGCAUUCAACGAUAAUGCGAAGCUUAAAGUGAAGCAGAAGGAAGAUGAGAAACUAUGGAAAGGACUUGAGAUAGUGGUAUGUUUCAUCUAACUUGAGAGAGUUGACUGCAGCACUGUAGGACACUCCCGAUUUUUGUCGAAAUUGUGAGUUUGUGUCUGAGAUGGCGGAUUUGAAGUAUAAAUUAGCGGUGGCGUUGUGGUUCUGCGUGUGGAUUCAUGGUGACUGUACGCUGAUGAUGGGGAUGUCACGAUUGAAAAGGGACCAUUUUGGCAUUGAGAGGUUCAGACCCUCUAAGUUUUGCGAUUUAAUCUGUAGUUCAAAGCUAUCCCAUGUAUGCUCCUGGCUUUGGUCUUCUGUUUUGAUUAUCGCAAGAGCAGGGAUAAAAUAAAUCUCAGUGAGUUACACUCUUCCAUAGGUCCAAAUUGUUUUGAAUUGUUUUGAAUUAUUUUUUUUCCGGAGACAACAUGUUUCGCCAUAGCAGCAUUAUCAAGGUUUCCCCUUAUAGCGGAAAAGUGGAUGAUUCCAUGAACAAUUAUUCUUGAUACUGGCAACACAUCGGUUCGUCGGAAUAUGAAGAUAUUUCAUAGGGUUUUGCACAUAAUUUGUCAAUGGUAGUUGCUAUUUCAUACGGAUUUAUACAUAAUUUGUCAAUGGUUAAUACAUUAGCAAUUGCAAAUGCAGUAGGUGCUGCAACAGCCAUGGGGCGUGGUGCUGGUAGGAAUGUAGCAUCCAUGGAAUAUUCAACUUUUGAAGACGGUUACGUGUGAUGCAUAUGCUGAAGAUUAAUGCUUCUGAUGCUGUAAAGGUUGAAAAAAAUAGCUAUUUUACAGUCUCAAAAGGAAUUCAGCCACAAAAGUAGUCGACAAAGCAGAUGAUUUGUUUUAUUUGCAUACAGUUGUAUUCGAAAGGCAGAUGAUUUGUUAUCUCAUCUGAGAAUGUUGAUAGGUGUAUAAUUAAGGGAUUUCUCUGAAUGUGUAUUGUAUCAAUGUAAUAUGUCUUUGAAUACUUUGAAUGAAAUUCUCUGUAUUACAUAUUGAAA